GACGAACGCUGGCGGCGUGCUUAACACAUGCAAGUCGAACGGUGAAGGGACCGGUUUUUGCUGGUUCUGGAUGAGUGGCGAACGGGUGAGUAACACGUAAGUAACCUCCCCCCUUCUUCUGGAUAACCGCAUGGGAGUGUGGCUAAGACUGGAUAUUCUGCGCCUGCGGCAUGGUGGGGGUGGGUAAGAUGUUGGGUCGGUGGGGGGCGGGCUCUCGGCCUAUCAGCUUGGUGGUGGGUUGAUGGCCUACCGAGGCGGUGUGGGGUAGCCGGGCUGAGCGGGUGGCCGGUCAGAGUGGGACUGAGACCCGGCCCAGACUCAUACGGGGGGCAGCAGCGGGGAAUAGGGAACAGUGGGCGAAAGCGUGCUGCAGCGGCGCGGCGUGAGGGAUGGAGGCCUGCGGGUUGUAAACCUCUUUCGUCAGUGAAGCACGCCUGUCCCUUUUGUGGGUGGGUUGACGGUAGCUGGAGAAGAAGCGCCGGCUAACUACGUG
rnacentral:rRNA from 1 species